rnacentral:rRNA from 1 species
GCAUAUCAAUAAGCGGAGGAAAAGAAACUAGCAAGAAGGAUUCUCUUAGUAAUGGUAAGUGAACUGGGAAAAGCUUAUUUAAAGUGAUUAAGGUUUUCCUAAUGAGUUAUAAUUUGAAGAAAGUGGUUUUGAUAUUUAGGUUUAUCUAAAUUCUUUGGGAUGAGGUUACUUAAUUCAUUUUCUAAGAGUCGAGUUAAUUUGGAAUUGCAGCUCAAAAUAGAUAAUAAAUUUCAUCUAAGGCUAAAUAUAUGCAAGAGACCGAUAGUGAAAAAAAGAGAGUUAAAUAGUAUAUGAAAUUGUAGAUUUAAAUCAGUCAUGCUAGUGAGAAAUCAACUCAGUAGUUCUUUUUCACAUGUAUUUUCUUGCCUGGAGAGUUAUAUCAAUUUUGUUUAUCAUUAAAUGAUCAGGUAAUAUGGUUUCUCUUUGGAGUAGUGCUAUAUACCUUGGUAGAUAUAAUGAUUGGGAUUGAGAAUUGCAGUGAAUACUAUUUGUCCAGUCCCCUGAUUUCUAAUGGUCAUCUCACCUUUGACAGCUUGCUAAGAUGGGUAGGUUUUGAUUGUUUAAAUGUUAAAGUAAUUAUAUAUUUGCUAAGAAUAUUGACGUAAUGGCUUUAAACGAC